GAGAAAAGCAAGUACUGAGAAGAAUUGUCCCACACAUCUAGACAUGCUUCUUCAACUCAGGCACCCUGAAGACUCUUAGAGACAGCACUUCAUCCAAGAAGUUCCUGGUUCAAGCAAGAGAUGUUCAACCCAGUCUUGAUAGUACCUUAUUCGUAAUUAAUGCACAAAUCCUCACUGAUGCUGAACUGAAAAACAGGCAGGAUGGAGCCAGGUGGGAAGAUCCAAGAGAGACAGGGAAAGGAGAAAGAAGAAGUAGAGAAGAGAUGCCAGCCACCACCAGGAGAAGCAAGAUGUGAACGUACCGCUUCAGAUUCUCUCAAAAAAAUGAUGAUAUGCAAAUAUCGCUGUAAAACCUACUGGAAGUUACAGGCUACAUUACAAAUAAAAUGAGAUUUUUAGAUGGAAACACACAAACACCCCAAAAAAUCCUUUUUUGUCUCUGCUUUUCAUUUUUGAUGUCGCAAUCUUAAAUAAAUGAGUAACGUAUGCCUAGA